GGGCGAGUGGUUCAAUCCGGUAGAACGUCCCCUUGGCUUGGGGAAGGCUCCGGGUUCAAAUCCCGGCUCGUCCA
rnacentral:tRNA from 2 species